CUGGACCCUGUAAUCCCAAGGGGACAUAAAGGCCAAUUUGCAGGAUGUCCACAGGAUAAUCACAAACUUCAUACCAUUUCCCCCAAAGCCCCUAGGGGAUUAGAUUUUCCUCCACUAUUGGAUGGGGUACUCCUACCCAGCCAGGGAGGAGGGGGUGCUCAAGACCCUCUGAGGGCUCUUCUGCCCCGAAUUCAAGUCAGUGAGAGAGAAGGUUAGCACCUAUUCUAAUCUGGUGCCAGAUACAUACGCACUGUACAGUGGAGGAUGGAGACAUGAAGGGAAAGAGGUCCCGUUAUACUCAGGGAGCCCAAGGGCUCAGCCCUCACUCCCAGUCUGGUCUGGUACCAGUACCCCUCCUCUCCCACUGGCACCAGCAUCUGUGCCCCAGGAUCAGUGCUUCACUCCCUCAGGACCCUCCCCCCACCCUCCUGCUUCCCAGAUGUGCUGGGUGCCAGGCUGGCAUUUCUCCUAGAAUGUUUUCUGCUGACCUAUCUCCCACUGCCUAGGGACAGGAAGGGCAGAGAGGCCUGAGGCCCAGACCCCUGGGGUCCACCUCCUUCCUGUUUUCCCUGCAUCCUGCUUUCCUCCGCUAACAAGCUGCAGAAGAUUGAGGAAGUGGAACGGUCUGGGACCCAGGGCAGGAAGCUUGGGGCCGGAGUCCCAGCAUCCGGACUGCAACAAUGGAAGCUUCAAGCACCAGGAAAAGAGACAGACACAGACAGAGGCACAGGGAGAGGAAAACAGAGUCAGAGAGGGAACAAGAAACAGGCAGAGAUACAGAAAAGCAGAGAGAGAGAUUGCCAAAGUAACAGAGAAAGACAGGAACAAAGACAGAAAGAGAAACAGUGACAGAGACACGGAGAGAAAGAGCAACAGAAAGGUGCUGAGGAGAAAGUGAGAGAAACAGGACAACAGAAAGGGAACAAGAUAGAGAAAGAGAAACUGGUAACAGGCGGAAGACAUUGAGGAAAGGAGAACUCAGGAAUGUUGGUAGUGAAACUAGAGAUUGAGAGACGUAGCAGGAAAUAACAAAAGAGUAAGAAAGAACGAAAGACUGAGAAAGAUUAUAAGGAGAAACUGAGAGGUUCACUGAAAAAUGGAAAAAGAGAAAGUGUAAGGGCCUUCUAAACCUCUCCCUCUCCCUCUCUCCCCGCUCUUGCUCUCCCCCUCCCCCUCUCCCUCUCUCUCUCCUUUCUCUACUCCCUAUUCCACACCGUUAGGUUUCUACAGCUCUGGGCUGGGAGCCAAGACUUGCUUCUCUUCUGCCACCUCAGAUGACACCUGCCAGGAGACAGGAGCAGGGUGCCUAUACCAGUGCAGGAUGAGGUGCCCAGGCCUGGCAGAGAGACCUCUGUCUUCCCAAUACCUCUCAAACAGCAAGAAGGAAGCGGAGCAGUUUGGAAGCCGUGGCAGGCGCCGAGAGCGCCUCUGAACCGGAGCCUGGGAGGGGAGAGAAAGAAGAGGAGACGCCAAGGGGCUGCUCUUUGGCCCCCUCCCUCGACCUUGGAGGAUUCCUCCCCUACCCCGCCGAGGCGGCUGCAGCCCCACCCCACCCCCCACCCUCCAAGAACACGACCAUCUAGCCCGGACUCCCGACUCCGCGGAUUCAGUCUCCUGGGCCAGAGUCCUUUCCACCCCACCCUAGUGCUUCCAGUCCCAGCCACUGGAGACCAAGUCGGGUGAAGUGGGAAAAAGGAAGCAAGCACCCAACGAGAGACCCAGAAGGGCCUGAUGGCCCUAAGAAGUUAGUAGGCUCUCUUCCACUCGCUCUUCCAACUCCCCCCCCCCCCGCCCCCCGCGCGCGCCCUAUCUCCCCAGGGCUCAUCUGGGUCCUGGUCCACUCUGCCGUCCUGAGAACUGAAUCCACCGAACUCCCGGAGAAGGAGGUGCCCAGCCUCUUCUUCCUUCCUGGAUGUUUACUUCUACUGCCCGACUCCCUCCCCAGAGGAGGAUUGGCUAGGGAGAUUGCCACUCUCAGUGUGCAAAUUGUGCAUCGCACAACUCCAGGGGGCACCAUUUCUCUUGUGGUCAUUGUAGGUUUGUGUAGUUGUUAUGACAGUUUUCCAGCAGAUGGCAGUCAAGCAUUUUGAGGGAGGGUUGCCUUCUCCUAAUUCAGCUAGUGUUGCUAUUUGGCUAGUGCGUGGGGCCGACUAGGCCCUCUGUGAGAUCCUAUUGGUGCCUGUUUCCCCGACCCUUGCCUCAGUCCUGCUGGGAUCCGGAGAGACCCUAGAGUAAUAUUUGAGCAGAGACCCGCCUCCUAGAUUCUCUCUCUGGUCUCCCAGUACUCACCCAUCCUCGCCCACAAAGGCUUCUGCCGUCCUAGAGCUGGUUUCAGGGUAAGAGUACCUGUCAGGGCACAAUCGGUGGCCCAGUGUGGAUUUUUUUUUUAAUCUUAUUUUAUUUAUUUAUUUAUUAUUUAUUUAUUUUUGGCUUGGCUUGGCUUGGCUUGGCUUAGCUUGGCUUAGCGUAGAAAGCAGCGAGGCAGCCAAGCCAAAGUGCAGAUCAGAGACCGUUUUCCUGCUUCCCGCUUCCUGCUUCCUUUCCCGGGGCAGCAGUUUUUCAUUUCAGUCUCACAGCAAUUAGGCCCUCUCCUACCUUCUCCAAGUGUAGACUGUCCAGGUGAUAGGAGGAAGAGAGGGGCUAGAAGCUGAACGUGUAGGGACAGAACCCAAAAGUUGCAAACUGACGGCACCUACUGGCAAUCAUCAAGACUGCAGAAGGUCUGAAGAGUUCUGGGGGGGGGGGGGGGGGGACAAGAUUCUGGGAUUCUCUCCCUGCCAUCUGUCUCACGGACAUACUGGAGUCUCUUCUUUCUUGGAACAGGGAAAACAGAGCCAGGUUCCUCACGUCCCUGGGGGAAGCCCAGCCUGUCCCUGAUUCAGAAAACUUCCCCCAGCCCUAUCCCCCUCCAUCAUCUUGAACCCGGUUCUGCCACCAACUUAUUGUAUGAAGUUGGACACCACUCCUUAGAGCUUGAAUGUCCCUAACUCUAAAAUAGAGGUAGGUCAUCUCCACCAAUCCUGCCUCUUAAGCUCUUAUGAGAGUAAAAUGGGACCAGAAAGGAUGGUUUUGAUACCAAUGCCAGACUUGCCCCGUAGACAGCAAACCUGGGAGAGGGAAAGGCCCUGGGACGUGGAGGAAGGAGUGCAGGAGAGGCUGGACUGAAAGCAAAAAAGUACCUGGAGGUGAAGCAUGAGUGCAGGUGUGGGAAAUCCAGAAAGGUUUCUAGGUGAGGCAGGUGCCCAGACCUCUACCCCAGCAUCCCCCAUUUAUUUGCUGGUGCCCACCCAGCCCCCAACAUCACUGUCUGGGAUAAUUCCAAGGAAGCAGGAAAAUAGAUACAAGUAGGCCAUCCAAGCACCUCCCCAUCAUUCACGCAACACCUGUUUACUGGACGCUGAUUGUGCGCGGGCUUUGUGCUACAUACCGAGGACACAGAGAUGGCCAAGAUCACUCUCUGCCCUCAAGGAGCUCACUGCCUAGUGAGGGGAGACAGGCAUAUAAAUAAAAUGAGCCUAAGAAUUGUGCAGGUGCCCCGGGAGACAUCCAUAUGGGGCACUGUGGGGACCCAGAUACACAAGUGGUCAGUUCUACAUCCAAGGCAUGGAAGAGCUUCACGGAGAAGGUGACUCAUGAGCCAACCAUCUUCCAUGCUGGAGGAAAAAGCACAGCCCAAGGCUUUACCGGAAAAGGAACCUCUGUGGGGCACCAGGCUGGCUCAGUUGGAAGAGCAUGCGACUCUUGACCUCAGAGUUGUGAGUUCCAGUCCCAUGCUGGAUUACUGAAAAAUAAAAUAAACUUUAAAAAAAGAAAAAAGACGGCACCUG